UAUUGGCCACUAAAUAACAUGAAAGUUUAGAAAAAAAGAAAAACUCAAGUCUAUCCCCUCCACACUCGUAUCUUCUUCCUCAACCAUCAGGCCCGUCUUCAAUUCCAUCUGAGGAUCAAAGUUUUCCAGGAAUCGAAUUACAGUCUCUCUGUUUCUUAGGAGAAUUGAUAAUGUCGGGUAGGAGUCGUGGACAUCGUGAUGCCUUCGAUGAUAGGCGUGGUUAUCCUCCAAGUGCACACAUUGUUCGAGGUCCACCCCCAACCUUUCAUCCUGCCAUUUUGGAAGAAGAAAUUGAAAUACAACGUGAUGAGAUGCGUAAGCUUUUGGAGGAUAACAGAAGACUUGCUGAGGACCGGGUGGCGUUGCAGCGAGAGUUACAUGCUGCAAGGGAGGAGAUUCACCGCAUGAAUCUUGCUAUUUCUGAUAUUCGCAAGGAGCAUGAUGUUCAUUCAAGGGAUCUCAUUGACAAAGGUUUGAAGCUGGAGGCUGAGCUACGUGCAGCUGAAUCUUUUAAGAAGGAUGCUACUCAAAUGCGUGCGGAAGUUCAGAAAUUAGAAAAGAUCCGACAAGAAUUAGUUGGGCAAGUUCAGUCGUUCUCCAAGGAUUUGACUAAGCUACAAGCUGAGAAUCAACAAAUUCCACACAUGAGAGCUGACAUUGAGGGUAUACAACAAGAACUUAUGCGUACAAGAAGUGCUAUCGACUAUGAAAAGAAGGCUAAGAUUGCGCUUCAUGAGCAGAAGCAAGCAAUGGAAAAUAACUUGAUCUCCAUGGCACGUGAAGUUGAAAAGUUGCGGGCAGAACUCACAAGCAAUAAUGGCAGACCAUGGGCUGCUGGUGGAACUUAUGGGAUGAAACUUAGCAGUCCUGAUGCUGGCUAUCCUGGUCACUAUGGAGAUCCGUAUGGUCCACAUAUGGGUGCUGCUGAGAAGGCUCCUCUCUAUGGAUCGGCAUCUACUGCUUGGGGUGGAAUUGAGAAGCCUCGUGGUGCAAGAAGAUGAAGAACUAUCUAAAUUAUGAAUCAGCCUGGCCGCCCCGUCCCUCUUAUGCUUUGCUACUAUCCAGUGUAUGAAAAGCCUGUGAGCAGUUGUUUCAUCUUGAUUGAGGGAAGUUAGGGGAAACUAUUGCCGUGUUUCCACAGAGGCCUUUGUUGCGCUUAAUCAAUCGGUUUGGAAUUCUUUUCUGCCACUAUCCUUUGAUUUCAGGCAAGAUAAAUGGUGGUGUUUCUAAGUAUCUCUUCUGUUGACAUUUUUGCCUUCUACAAGUUCGUUGGCUCACUGUCAUACCUAACAGUUUGGGAUCAAACUAGGGCUUCUAUGAGAGGUUACAGCCGUACGGCAUAGCAUAUGUUUGUGGCUGUUACUCUUUCACUGUGCAUUUCAAGCUUGAUAUCCAUAGUUAACCUGGGGUUUUCUGUAAAUAAUCAUAAUAAGAUGAUAUUUGUUCCAUUCACAGUUUUGAUAUUGUUCUUUCAAUAGGUGAAGUGAAGAAAUUAUGGAGAGUACGGAUUGUGCUAGCUCUAUAGCGCAUGUUUCUUCUGGAUAGUUCUGGCAGCUCAGAAUCAUAUGGUUCCAUGGUUUGAACUAGCUGGUGGAGUUGUAUUGUUUCUAGUCUCUUGCCAGAUUAGUUCAUCUAGCAUCUCUUGAAAUGAAGUAGACCUUUGCUUGGGUAAAUUAGACAUUUAUUAUUGCAUUUAGGGCUGUUUAGGUUAAGAAUGCAAUUCCCUAUUUUUUCCUCAUAGCUUACCAUCUUAUAUGCCUUUCUCUUGAUUACCCCAUUCAUUAAGUUUAUAUUCCACACCCAUUAGGGAAUCCUUCAUUUAUCAUCUAAACUCAUGAUUACCUGAUUGCUGUUAUUUCUCAAAUUUUCUUUGCUGAACCAAACACAUGAUGAUUGGUAUGCUUACUCAAGUACCCAAUUGCCUCAUUUUAUAACUCUUUAUUACUCGUGAUAUUUUAUUCGUUUCUCUUGCCUUUCAUUGAUCCCAGCAAGUGGCUCCUUGCCUCCUCGUGUUAUCUUGAACUUGUAAUAUUUCUUCAGAAGGAAUGAGGAAUGGGGUCUUAUAGUUUUGCUGGAUAUGUAAUAGGUGUUUCCUUUGUGAUAAAUUUUGGAAUGUGAAAAUGACUUGAUUUGUUGAAUUAGGUUAUUAUUCUUCGGGUUCUACUACCUCAUGCUCCUCAUGAUGAGUUGUGAAAGGAAGUCUUAGCUCAAGUUCAGCUCGUUUUACUGGUUUUGGUUUGGAUUGUCUAUUUUAGGUUGAAUUUUGAGGAGUAAGAGAUCAGUAGUGAAGGUAUUUUUGGAUCAUUUGGCGGUUUUUAGUUUUCUGCAGAGGUUGUUGAUAUGGGAGAAAAAUCAUUUGCACUACAAGUUGUGCAGUGUAUUUAUAAGAAGUUUAGGUCUCAGUGUAACAUGUGAGUUGAAAGGAAAAGGUGGUGUGGUCGAUUGGUUUAUGUGAACUGUUAAAGCAUUUAUUUCAAGGAUUAUGAGCUGAGCUAAAGAUCUGCCAUUAUGACAUGAUGAAGAUCUAAAGACAUUUUCGUUGUUACCUCACGUCAUAGUCCUCCUCUCUCUCUCUCUCUCUCUCUCUCUCUCUCUGAUCUUUAAUUCUGCAAAAUGGUUGAAUGGUUAGAUAUACUGGAUAUAUCCUCGUAUAAUCUCCAAUUAUGGAUCCAGAGAGACCAAAGCCAGGAAGAUGGGCGAGUAGCAGCAUCUGAUGUGAGCAACAUGGACAGGCGAGUGGCUUUACCUUCCAGUUGUGAGCAGCAUAUUUAAGACAGCCAAAUAGAGAAAUGAUCAAUGGACCGAAAAACCUGCACUUUCCAAUUUCUGUCAGAGUCGCUUGGAGGAGAAGGCUUAUUGAGAUUCUCUAUGGCGCUUGCUGGGAUUAGUAGAGAAGGGUCACAUUGCUUAGUCCAUCUUUGCUCAAAGUUGGUAAGAACAUCCCAGGCUGCUUCCCCUGUUAUACAAGCAUGUGCAUCAUGCCAUGGCUCUCUUGGUCCACCUUUGUUAAGGCUAGCACCUGCAAUAUUUGUUUGGUAGAAAUCAUGGGCAUGGAAUUCCGUGUUCAGCGUACGAAAUAGGGAGUGUUGUUCAGUAUCAUAGCGACCAUCACAGAGAUCUACGCCACCUAUGAAGCUCAUUAGUUCCCUAUUUCUUGGGGAGUUUUCUACCCUAGUGUCUACAGUUAUAGUCUUCUGGUGAUGGCUGAAGAAUGUGGGAAAUUUAUUGUGUAAUCUUGGGCAUAAUCUGCAUAUUACCCUAGUGUUCUUGAAGUAGGCGAAUGCAUCUUCAUCGUGAGUCUUCAUCAAGCCUUUGUUUUUAAUGAGAGGUAUGGAUGUUUCGUCAUUCCAUAGCAUAAUUCUCACUGUUACACCUUCUUCUGCUUUCUGUCUGAGCAAUUCUCCGAGUUCCACUCCUCUUGCACGUGGAAUUUCUGUUUGAGGAUCUCGAACCUGCCAUAAAGCUUGUAAGAAACACAAGAAAAGGCAGGAGUAGGAUAUGAAUCACAAGACAAGUACCCUCCCAAGGUCUUGAGACCCUGCUUAUACUAGCAUAUAAGCUAUGAAAAUUCACUAGGAAUAAAUCUGUUGUGUAAAAUGCAAUUACCAGCACCAUCUUGGGAUUGAAUGACCAUCCUGCAAUAUAAAUCAAAUGUUUUGCUCCCUCAAGGGCCUUAUAUACAUCCUCCCAUAGGUUUCGGGGAAUGUUAUGACCAGGCAAUGGUGGUUGGAAAGAACUAUGAUGGUGGACAUCAUGAUAAAGUGUAACACUGCAAUUGGAUCGUUGCGGAAAUGUUGCAUUUCUUAGGCCCUUGAAGUCACCACCAUAAAUUAACUUUCCCCAGCUAGGCUCCAAAUCUGCUGGCUUGAACCAUAAGAUGAAUUGGAGCCCUAACUUUUGUUUGGGCUUCCCAUCUUCAGAGAGCAAAGGAAAGAAGCCAUUUAUCAGGCUUGCUUGAGUGACAAUCUGAUGUGCCUCAAAUUGUAUCUUCCCCAGGACGGAGCACUUGGUUUUGACAGUAAUUGUGAUGGUUGAGUCAAUGGGAUGAGCACAGAGGAUUUGAAAGGUCUGGUUCCAAAUCCGGUCUCGUUCGCUUGUUGUGUUUGCCAUUUUGUGUUGGCCUAUCUUGAUUGUCACAUAUGCUGGUCUACCGCUUCCUGAUAAACACUGCACAGAUAGGGUCAAUUUUCCAGCCUAGCCUUCCUUCCCAGCAAUUGUUCAAAGGUGUUCAAGGCUUCAAGUCAACUCAAACCCGCCAGAAAGGCGGAAAGAGAAGAUAUUGAAAAUGAGCGAUGACAUCACCGGUAAUUGUCCGGUCCAUUUACUGGAACGAGAAGAUCCUUUAAAAACAAAACAAAAAACAUCUCACAGGAAUCACUACCCCCUCGCUACGGUGCCAGUGCGCCAACCCCUCGACCCAAAUUGAAAAUCACUGUCUUGGAUCAUCCUAUUGCUAUGGAUCCAGCGAGAAACCGGAAAACAAAGGCCUUUGACGGAAAAUUGGUUUUGGUCGAUAAACUGACUAAUAUUACUGAAAGAAGUCGCAUGGUUUUGCGAAGAAAGUUUUAAUUUGCCUAAUUGCGACGGACACAUCUUCAACCUCGGAUUACUCUGAAUGUGUGCUAAUUGGCAAAACAAGGGGAUUUUCAUGGACUUGCAGAUUAGGGAGAACUUUUUCGAGAAAGAGGAUGACCAUCCAAUUUUCCGUUUAUAUAAGAAAUUAUCUGGUACUUAUAUUCAUUAGGCUGUGAAGAUAUUUUUUGUUUCGAAUGCACUUGUUUUCAUUAUUGGAUAGAAAAUACAGAAACAACACAAGGAAUUGAAAUUAUUAGAUUGAUCAA